rfam:Prunus persica cultivar Lovell chromosome G7, whole genome shotgun sequence.
CUGACAGAAGAGAGUGAGCACACAAACGCAGGCAAUUGUAUAAAAGCAUAUACCUUGGUGCGGUGCGUGCUCACUUCUCUCUCUGUCAG